ACUCCCGCUUCCUGCUCCGGCCAGAACGGCGUUGCCAUGGAGACGACCCUGCCCCUCAGCCCGCCGGCCCUCACGGCCUCUCAGGAGGGCAGCGGUGCAUGGCGACUCUUCGGCCCCUCGCCCACCUCCUCAUCUACGUACUCGCCUAUUCCUGCGUUUACUCGUGUUUGUACUUGUUCAUUUAUCUUAUCAGCAUCCUUGUAGAGGACUGGGCAAGGUGAGACCCGGGACGGCUGGCCUUUGGCCUAGGAGGGCUUGAGGGGCCGAGUCUCUGCCUUUUUCUGGAAGGAUCCCAAGGGUGAUGAAAGUCUUCUGGAACUUGCACUAAAAGUCGCUCGACUGUACACUUCGCAGGAGUGAAGGUCUGGUUUGUGAACGAGCUCUCAGUGAGGCUGCCGCGCGGUACCACGGGACUCUGAAAUGCACGUCUAGGAUCUCCUUCUUCCUUAAGAAAUAGCUGAUUUCUUUCAAAUGCUGUGCACUGGGCCAUCAGAUGAACUCAUUUCAGAACCAUUGCCUUUUUUUUUUUUUGGUCCCUUAAGAAAAGCAUCAAGCAUCUGAUUUGCUGCUGAUAAAUUCUCUGCAAUAGAAGGGGCCGGGUUCUGCCCAGGAGUGACACCACCUUUAAGGUAACAAUGAGAAGCAACAGGAGAAUGGGGUUUGUGUUUCAGGAGUCCCCCUUUGAGUAGGUGGUGCCAAAAUGCAAGAGGUUGUGGUAUGAAUUUGAUAGGAAAGAAAAAUAUAGCAAAGAAAAAACACACAUGGUGUAAUCUCCAGGAGCCCUGAGGGAGGUGGGGACUGGAGACCAGGGAAACAGACAAUGUAAUCAGAGGGACCUGAGAGCUCUGCUGCCUCUGAGCAAAACAGGCUACUCCAAUGUCAGUUCCCUGAUUGGUCCAUGUAGCCUGCCUUAUUAACAUACACUUUCAGUUCUCUGAUUGGCUGUUAUCCCUGCCUUCUGGUUGGUUGUUAUUCUGGCCUCCUGAUUGGUUGUUAUCCCUGCCCUCUGAUUGGCUAUUAGUCUC